rnacentral:rRNA from 1 species
AUUGAACGUUGGCGGAAUGCUUACACAUGCAAGUCGAACGGCAGCACGGGGGCAACCCUGGUGGCGAGUGGCGAACGGGUGAGUAAUACAUCGGAACGUGCCCAGUCGUGGGGGAUAACGUAGCGAAAGCUACGCUAAUACCGCAUACGAUCUCUGGAUGAAAGCGGGGGGCCGCAAGGCCUCGCGCGAUUGGAGCGGCCGAUGGCAGAUUAGGUAGUUGGUGGGGUAAAGGCUCACCAAGCCGACGAUCUGUAGCUGGUCUGAGAGGACGACCAGCCACACUGGGACUGGGACACGGCCCAGACUCCUACGGGAGGCAGCAGUGGGGAAUUUUGGACAAUGGGCGCAAGCCUGAUCCAGCCAUUCCGCGUGCAGGAUGAAGGCCCUCGGGUUGUAAACUGCUUUUGUACGGAACGAAACGGUGCUCUCUAAUACAGGGCGCUAAUGACGGUACCGUAAGAAUAAGCACCGGCUAACUACGUGCCAGCCGCCGCCGUAA